UGGGGAAUAUUGGACAAUGGGCGAAAGCCUGAUCCAGCCAUGCCGCGUGUGUGAAGAAGGUCUUCGGAUUGUAAAGCACUUUAAGUUGGGAGGAAGGGCAUUAACCUAAUACGUUAGUGUUUUGACGUUACCGACAGAAUAAGCACCGGCUAACUCUGUACCAGCAGCCGCGGUAAUACAGAGGGUGCAAGCGUUAAUCGGAAUUACUGGGCGUAAAGCGCGCGUAGGUGGUUUGUUAAGUUGGAUGUGAAAUCCCCGGGCUCAACCUGGGAACUGCAUUCAAAACUGACUGACUAGAGUAUGGUAGAGGGUGGUGGAAUUUCCUGUGUAGCGGUGAAAUGCGUAGAUAUAGGAAGGAACACCAGUGGCGAAGGCGACCACCUGGACUAAUACUGACACUGAGGUGCGAAAGCGUGGGGAGCAAACA
rnacentral:rRNA from 1 species